UACGGAGGAUGCGAGCGUUAUCCGGAUUUAUUGGGUUUAAAGGGUGCGUAGGCGGAUUUUUAAGUCAGCGGUAAAAUGUCCGGGCUCAACCCGGGCCGGCCGUUGAAACUGGGGAUCUUGAGUGGGCGAGAAGUAUGCGGAAUGCGCGGUGUAGCGGUGAAAUGCAUAGAUAUCACGCAGAACUCCGAUUGCGAAGGCAGCAUACCGGCGCCCGACUGACGCUGAGGCACGAAAGCGUGGGGAUCGAACAGG
rnacentral:rRNA from 1 species